rnacentral:rRNA from 1 species
AGAAAUCGUUAAGGGCGUAUGGCGGAUGCCUAGGCUUUCAGAGGCGAAGAAGGACGUGGUAAGCUGCGAAAAGCUGCGGGGAUUGGCACACACGAAUUGAUCCGCAGAUGUCCGAAUGGGGCAACCCGGCAUAUUGAAGAUAUGUCACCCAGCAAUGGGAGCAAACCCGGAGAACUGAAACAUCUAAGUACCCGGAGGAAAAGAAAUCGAAGAGAUUCCGUAAGUAGUGGCGAGCGAAAGCGGAUUAGCCCAAAAGCUUUUAUAUGUUUAAUAGAAUACACUGGAAAGUGUAGCCAUAGAGGGUGAUAGCCCCGUAUAUGAAAGGCAUACAUAAGUGAUAAAUGAGUAGGGCGGGACACGUGAAAUCCUGUCUGAAUAUGGGGGGACCAUCCUCCAAGGCUAAAUACUCCUGAAAGACCGAUAGUGAACAAGUACUGUGAAGGAAAGGUGAAAAGCACUUCGAAUAGAAGGGUGAAAUAGAACCUGAAACCGUACGCCUACAAGCGGUCGGAGCAGCUAUAUGCUGUGACGGCGUGCCUUUUGCAUAAUGAGCCUACGAGUUAAUCUUACUAGCGAGGUUAAGGACUUAAGGUCCGGAGCCGUAGCGAAAGCGAGUCUGAAUAGGGCGCUUAGUUAGUGGGAUUAGACGCGAAACCUUGUGAUCUACCCAUGGGCAGGUUGAAGCUUUGGUAACACAAAGUGGAGGACCGAACCGGUUGACGUUGAAAAGUCUUCGGAUGACCUGUGGGUAGGGGUGAAAGGCCAAUCAAACUGGGAGAUAGCUCGUACUCCCCGAAAUGCAUUUAGGUGCAGCGUCGAUAUAGUUUAUUAGAGGUAGAGCUACUGAUUGGAUGCGGGGGUUUCAUCGCCUACCAAUUCCUGACAAACUCCGAAUGCUAAUAAAUGAUUGUCGGCAGUGAGGGCAUGGGUGCUAAGGUCCAUGUCCGAGAGGGAAAGAACCCAGACCAACAGCUAAGGUCCCUAAAUAUAUGCUAAGUUGAAAGAACGCGGUUGGACUGCAUUGACAGCUAGGAUGUUGGCUUGGAAGCAGCCAUUCAUUUAAAGAGUGCGUAACAGCUCACUAGUCGAGCGGUCCGGCAUGGAUAAUAAUCGGGCAUAAGCAUAUUACCGAAGCUAUGGCAGUAUUUAAUACUGGGUAGGGGAGCAUUCUAUUUGCGCCGAAGCAGUACUGUGAGGUAUUGUGGAGCGGAUAGAAAAGAAAAUGUAGGCAUAAGUAACGAUAAAGGGGGCGAGAAACCCCCUCACCGAAAGACUAAGGUUUCCUCAGCCAUGCUAAUCAGCUGAGGGUUAGUCGGGGCCUAACGCGAAGCCGACAGGCGUAGUGGAUGGACAACGGGUUAAUAUUCCCGUACCAGUAUAUUAAUAAAAGUGACGGAGUUGGAAACUAGGUGCGUACUGACGGAAUAGUACGUUGAAGUAACUGCGAGGUUACGAUAGUACAGCAAAUCUUCGGAUGCGCUGAUAAUCCUGGGGACCCGCUUCCAAGAAAAGCGAAAUAUACUGCCCGUACCAAAACCGACACAGGUAGUCGAGGAGAGAAUCCUAAGGUGCUCGAGUGAGUCGUGGCUAAGGAACUAGGCAAAAUAGUCUCGUAACUUCGGAAGAAGAGACGCCUCCCUCCGGGGAGGCCGCAGUGAAGAGGCCCAGGCGACUGUUUAUCAAAAACACAGGACUCUGCUAAAUCGAAAGAUGCUGUAUAGGGUCUGACACCUGCCCGGUGCUGGAAGGUUAAGGAAGGUGCUUAGAAGUAAUUCGAAGGCAUUGACUGAAGCCCCAGUAAACGGCGGCCGUAACUAUAACGGUCCUAAGGUAGCGAAAUUCCUUGUCGGGUAAGUUCCGACCUGCACGAAUGGUGUAACGAUCUGGGCACUGUCUCAGCCACGAGCUCGGUGAAAUUGUAGUAUCGGUGAAGAUGCCGAUUACCCGCAAUGGGACGAAAAGACCCUGUGAACCUUUACUAUAACUUCGUAUUGACUUCGAGUAAACAAUGUGUAGGAUAGGUGGGAGGCUGUGAAGCAGGCACGCUAGUGUUUGUGGAGCCAACGUUGAAAUACCACCCUUUGUUUACUUGGAGCCUAACUUCUACGGAAGGACAUUGCGUGGUGGGUAGUUUGACUGGGGUGGUCGCCUCCAAAAGAGUAACGGAGGCUUUCAAAGGUACCCUCAGCACGCUUGGUAACCGUGCGUAGAGUGUAAUGGCAUAAGGGUGCUUGACUGUGAGACCUACAAGUCGAUCAGGUGCGAAAGCAGGACAUAGUGAUCCGGUGGUUCCGUAUGGAAGGGCCAUCGCUCAUAGGAUAAAAGGUACUCCGGGGAUAACAGGCUAGUCUCCCCCAAGAGCUCACAUCGACGGGGAGGUUCGGCACCUCGAUGUCGGCUCGUCACAUCCUGGGGCUGGAGAAGGUCCCAAGGGUUGGGCUGUUCGCCCAUUAAAGUGGCACGCGAGCUGGGUUCAGAACGUCGUGAGACAGUUCGGUCUCUAUCUAUUGCGGGCGUUAGAUGUUUGAGAGGGCUUGAUUCUAGUACGAGAGGACCGAAUUGAACAAACCUCUGGUGUAUCAGUUGUACCGCCAGGUGCACCGCUGAGUAGCUAUGUUUGGAAGAGAUAAGCACUGAAAGCAUAUAAGUGCGAAACUCGCCUCAAGAUGAGACAUCUUUUAAGGGUCGUUGUAGAUGACGACGUUGAUAGGCUAUAGGUGUAAAGGCAGUAAUGUCAUAGCCGAGUAGUACUAAUUACCCGUAGAUUUAUAGCCUAAUAAGGCUUAAAGCUAAAAGCAAUAAGUAAGCUUUGCAAAAAUACUUAAGGAGUGCGCUAAAGGUUAUGCCUUUGUGAUGUUGAAACUACCGAAACAUGUUGGUAGUUAUAGGUUA